rnacentral:rRNA from 1 species
UACAGAGGGGGCAAGCGUUGUUCGGAAUUACUGGGCGUAAAGGGCGCGUAGGCGGCCGCCUAAGUCAGACGUGAAAUCCCUCGGCUCAACCGGGGAACUGCGUCUGAUACUGGGUGGCUUGAAUCCGGGAGAGGGAUGCGGAAUUCCAGGUGUAGCGGUGAAAUGCGCAGAUAUCAGGAGGAACACCCGUGGCGAAGGCGGCUCUCUGGGACGGUACUGACGCUGAGACGCGAAAGCGUGGGGAGCGAACAGG